UUAAAAUUUUGAAUUAGGAUUAGUUUUAGGUUUAAAUUUAGAAUUUAGCUUUAGUUUUAGGUUUGGAUUGAGGUUUAACUAUAUGCGCUCAAAUUUAUGUUUACGUUUCAAAAGUUUAUAAUUUAGCUCGGGGAUAAACCGGAUCUGGCAAUUCUUUUUCUGCGGCAACUAGCUGGUUUACGGGAGGCAAUUAUAGAGCGGGAAGAGUUCUUUUGGCUGAUGAGGCUUUCCUGUCCGUCCGUAUUAGGGUCCGUUCGGGUAAACCAGGGUUUUUGUUAUAAAUAUAUAUGGCUAAGACCACCUGAGAUCUCAAAAUCACGCGUUACUUUGUAAAAGGCCUGAGCUCAACCCUGUUCGCGCACGUUUGAGAAAAAAAGCAAACGGAAUGGAUUCGAUACGAUGAAUGAUAGAAAUUAUUUAAAAAGGACACUCGUCCGGUCCGUCUUGUCGUCCGGGUGCAAACUCACAGAAGGUCGGAAAACCAAAAAUUAUACCAAAGCACCCCAGGCGUGGUGGUGCUGAAAAACAGCAUCUCCCUCGUUGGAUGGAGUCGGUUUGUGUUUUGCUUUG